rnacentral:rRNA from 1 species
UACGUAGGUGGCAAGCGUUGUCCGGAAUUAUUGGGCGUAAAGCGCGCGCAGGUGGUUUCUUAAGUCUGAUGUGAAAGCCCACGGCUCAACCGUGGAGGGUCAUUGGAAACUGGGGAACUUGAGUGCAGAAGAGGAAAGUGGAAUUCCAAGUGUAGCGGUGAAAUGCGUAGAGAUUUGGAGGAACACCAGUGGCGAAGGCGAACUUUCUGGUCUGUAACUGACACUGAGGCGCGAAAGCGUGGGAGCGAAGAGG